CUGCGUUCAGUUUACGCCGUGCGGUCGGCGUGAAAGGUACGGUUCGUACGCGGCGGACGUGCCAACGGGAAGAAACGUUUUGUGAUCGCAUGUAUCGCGUUCGCGCCGGGCGACUUUCGGUCUCGUAUGAUCUCCGUGAAGCGGACGUGAGCAACGACGAAGAGGCUCCGGGAUCCAGCGCGAUGUCGCGGGAUUAACAAUCCUUCACGGACACAAGUCAGCGCGCAAGUCUCUUCUCGCCCUCUCCUUCUUCCUUUGCAUCUCUCAGUCGGAGGAUACGUCCCGUUUUCGCGUCGGCCGUUUGAACGUCAGCCAAGCACGGCGUGCACUUUUAUCACACCAGCGCACUCGUUACACUACACUUCGAGAUUCGUAACGAUACCAAAGAGUAGGAAAUAGCAUGCCAAGUCAAGACAGGAUAUCGUCGAGCUGCCUUCUCUUGUUGUACCUGAGCACUUCGAUAUGGGUGGUUGUAGGAAAUCCCAUUCGGCACAGGAUGAGACGGGAAGCGGAGAUAGCGUCGACCAACUGGACCGCGUUAGCCGACGAGUGGAUCGCGGCGAAGGCGCGGGCGUCCGAAAGGAUGGACGUGGCGUUGCUGCCGUUCAACGAGAGAUACAGGGAACUUCCACCGACCGCGGCCACGGAGACCUACGUGGUUAACGGCACGAGUCCGGAUCAGAUGGUGCGGUUAAAUUACUCGCGGAUGCUAUGGGAUAUGGAGACGGUGCAGCCGAGUGGGCACCUAUCCGGCUUCGUGGACAAGGCUCUCAAACUGUUGGACCUGAGGCAAGUGAUGAUGGAGGUCGAGACCUCUGUGAUGUCCAAGGUCUCUUGCACCGCAUGCAAGGUUGGCGCCGGUCUGUUGCAACAUUACAUAAAGGUCGGCAAGAGCGACGAGGAGAUUAUGGCCAGCAUCUAUCAAUUCUGCGUGUCGCUCAACAUACAGAGCGCCCGAGUUUGCCACGGUGUCACUCUGCUCUUCGGGGUGGAGGUGAUCUACGUGCUGAAGCAGGUGAGCAUGGGCCCAGCUCAGAUCUGCAGUUUUGUGAUCGGCGACGCGUGCGACGACGCGUUCAAUCCACUCCACGAGUGGGAGGUGGCCUUCCCUCCGGUCAAGAAACCGCCGAUCAAGCCGCCAAUACCACCUCAGGAGACCGCACCGACCUUCAAAGUGUUGCACAUCUCCGACACACACUAUGACCCGUAUUACCAGGAGGGCGCGAAUGCGGAGUGCAACGAGCCGCUCUGCUGCCGAUUGACGAACGGCGCUCCGUUGACCGCCUCGGCGGCGGCAGGUAGAUGGGGCGACUACAGAAAGUGCGACACGCCGAAAAGAACGAUCGACCACAUGCUUAAGCAUAUCACCGAUACGCAUUCGGAUAUCGAUUACAUUCUGUGGACCGGGGACUUGCCGCCGCACGACGUGUGGAAUCAGACGCGGGAGGAAAAUCUGAAGGUCUUGCGUGACACGGUCGCGCAAAUGGUGGAGAUGUUUCCAGGCAUACCGAUAUUUCCGGCCUUGGGAAAUCACGAAAGCGCACCGGUUAACAGCUUUCCCCCGCCUUUCGUGCCCGAAGAAAAUAGUAUUUCCUGGCUGUACGAUGAGCUCGACAAGCACUGGAGACGCUGGUUACCAGCCGGAGUCUCGCACACUGUUCGUCGAGGCGCGUUCUACUCGGUUCUAGUACGACCUGGCUUCAGAAUCCUCUCGGUCAAUAUGAAUUACUGCAACAACAAGAACUGGUGGCUGCUCAUCAACAGUACCGACCCGGUCAGCGAACUGCAGUGGCUCGUGUACGAGCUGCAAGGUGCGGAGAUCAAUGGUGAGAAGGUGCACAUCAUCGGUCAUAUCCCGCCCGGCCACUCAGAUUGUCUCAAAGUAUGGUCAAGGAAUUACUACCAUAUCAUCAACCGCUACGAAUCGACCAUCGUGGCCCAGUUCUUCGGACACACGCACUACGACGAGUUCCAGUUAUUCUACGACACGUCGGACUUGGGUAGAGCGCUCAGUAUUGCCUACGUCGGGCCUUCAGUCUCGCCUUACUACGAUCUUAACCCCGGCUACAGGAUAUAUUACGUGGAUGGCGAUCAUCCGAAGACCACAAGGAUGGUAGUCGACCAUGAAACCUGGGUCAUGAAUCUCAAGGAGGCGAAUCUGUACGACUAUCCAAUCUGGCACAAGAUGUAUAGCGCGCGGCAGGCCUAUCAAAUGUCGUCACUCUUGCCGAAGGAUUGGGACUCCCUGAUUGACAAGAUGACCAAUGAGCCGGCCCUCUUCGAUCUCUAUUACAAGCACUAUUAUAAGAAUUCGCCGGUGAGACCGGCGUGUAAUGAUGAAUGUCGUAAAAGGCUGUUGUGCGAUCUGCGCAGCGGAAGAAGCCACGAUCGGAAGGCUCUGUGCCAGAGCCUGGAAUCGCGGAUCGACGUCGAAACGAGGACGGGUUGGCGCGCGUGGAUCUAUAAGGGGCUCGCAUUAUCGUACGUAAAGGAUAUGUGGUAUCAAAUGUAUUCCGGCAAUAUUGCGACUAACGAAGUUGACUAACUCGGGAUGGACAGACAAAUGGUCGCACGAUCGUUGCGAUUCCAAAUUUCCUUCCUCUUUCCUUAUUUUCUGAAAAAGACUCGCAGGUCUCCGAAGCGCGAUACGUUCGUAGCGACGCAUGCACAAUUGGCAGAGAUCUGUUUUGUACACUUUGCAGACGAUAAUUAUAUUCGCGGUAAUCUCUUUGAAGCGCACGUAAAAGAUGGUGGAAAUUACGAGAAGAUAUGUCUCGUCGACUCACAAUAAUACGAAAACGUUUUAACUCCCUGAUCGCGUCUAAAAGCAACUAAUGAUUAGUCUAAUAAGUGUCUGAUAAGAGUUACCUGAAUUGUUGCAAUCGCAAAUGUAGUUAGUAGUAAGCACAAUAACUCCGCUUGAUUGCGGCACGAGAUAUCGGCUCAAUUAGCUCACAGAAAAAAUACUAAUAAUCUGUAAUAGUUAUUAAUAGGUAACAGGUCGUAACUUGAUAUACAGACUGAUCGAUUGAUAUGUAUAUUAAUAUCUACGUAUAUUAGUUAUUACAUCGAAUUUUAAUGCAUAUAUUAAUGACGUAUCGAGAAUACACGCUCGUCAUUUACGUGACAGCCAUAUUUUUAUAAUAUAAGGCGACCAUAUGUAAUUUCUCAAUAUCGUUGUUUUUUCUUAACACGAAGAUAUUGAGAUUUUUAUCGGUAGGAAUUAAGUGUUAUUUCGUACAAUUCGUUUAGUUUAGUUUGUUCUAGAUAACUUGUAUUUAUGCGUGUUUGUGCUGAACAAGCGUAAAGACAUUGGUUCGGUAAUUUCUAACUCGACUAGUGUUAACGAAGCAAUAGUAGCUGAACGGUAAUAAAAUAUUACUACUACGAAGCAAUAUUGCUCAUAAUAUCAAAUGUUAUAUCGUAAAAUUUUCGAAAGAAAAAUUUAGUCAGUCGUGUGCCAAUAUUUAUCAAAUCGGUAAAUCGGAAAAUGAUCCUCUUAAGCAAAACUGUUUUCAUCUGCACUUAUAUUAAUAUUCGUUGUGAGAAAUUUUAAUAAUUAUAUCCCCCAGUCACGUAUUUUUUCUUUCAUUAAAUUAAUUCAUAUUCUUAUUUCGUCUUCAGACUAACGUGAACCAAAAUAUGCUUUCGUUUUUUUUCAGUUGAUUAAUUAACAUACUAUGUAGAGCUAAGUUUCUUAAAAUUUAAAGGGAGACGUAAAUUUAAUAACAAAUUUAACAAAAGUUGAUUUUUUAUCUUAAGCUUCAGUAGUUAGCCCAAAGAAGUCUAACACGCGAAUGUCGACCGACUGCAUUUAGUAGUAUCUAAGCAUCUAUUGAUAUAUCGCUUUACUUAGACUGCAUGCGUGCGUGUUGUACACAUCGUUCAAGCGAGCUAUCCGUGCUUGAUGAAAGAAUUAUGCGUGCGAGUGACCGUGUAACAUCUGCAUGAGAAAAAGAGAGAGGCAAAAAAAGAAAGAGACAGAAAUCCAAAGUACUAAUUCUUUCUUUAACGGUGAACAAUAAUGAAGUUGUCCGAUUCUUCGUGUGUUUCAGAGGUUUCUUCGCGAAACAUGUCGCGUUCUGAUUCGCUUGCAGACAACGCGAACUUCCGCGAGUGUUGUAUUCGUAUCGAAACAAAGAUAAAAACACAAAAUUGUGCGCACGUCAUGAAUAAAAUCAUAAUACCUUAUCUUAACGAUAUACAUACGCGCACACAUAUGUAUAUUCUUGUAAAUACGUUCUUUCUUAACAGUCUUUUUUCAAUAAAAAAUGUAAACAGAAGGAAACGGUGUUGGGGCUUUCGAGUCACUGACGCGAUGCGUCCAAUUGUUCACGCUGCAAAUAUUUUAUAUAUAAUACACAUAAUUAGUUUGCUGUAAAAAUAUUUCUUAAUGCUUCAGCUGAUUUUUCAGCAAACGCGUCACCAGCACAUCGUAAUUAAUUGACUACAUCGUCGCUGCUUCGCGACAGCGCGCGAGAACACACUUAGCUUUCCUGACUUAUGAAUCUAAUUCAAAGAGGAGCGGCGUUUCAGCAGUGGUUUCACCUCGCCGGAAGGCGUCAAUAUAAUUUGUACAUGCUUAAACAAAGUCUGUAAUCGGUAACCUUGUUUGGUGGCGGAGCGUAACACGGUGGUUGAGAUUUCUAUCGUCGUACACUGCGCAUCGGUAGAUGUCCGUAGUGAUGGCCAUCCCCAGGUUCGCGUACAAUCUACCAAAGUACGUUCUAGGACUGGGUUAGAACGCGGAAACAGCUAUGCCGUCAAGCGCAAAUGUGUGACUCAACUUGUGAUGUUAAAUUAUUUAAAUGCUCGCGUCGUCGCAACGCUCGAAACGCGCGAGCCUCAAUGUCGUUGACGACCGACGAUUGCAUUCGUCGGAACUGAUUGUCGCGUGUUCGCGACUUGUAGAAUCUAACGCGUAUCUAAUCUCCCAAAACGGGAAAGAAACGAUUCUCCCAGUAAACUCAAACUAUCAGUAACAUGACAUAUAAUCAAUGUUAUAAUUUACCACUCAGCAAUGUAAAUGCGAUGUAACACGUGUGUUUAACUUAACAGUUACAAUGAUUGCAUUCAGCAGAACAAACUGCUUUGCUACUAUAAAAUUCAUGAAUCUAAUUGAACUGUGUUCUUAAAUUCAACCAAGAUUAAGAACAUACAUCAAUCAGAUCUACGAAUUUUAUAAUAAUUGCAAAGCAGCUUUCUCUGUUGAACGCAGUCAAUAUUACUGUUAGUUGGUGUUUACUGGGCUGUGAUGAGCGAAUGAUAGGAUGGUUAGGAUAGAUAUUAAGUGGCCGAUCAGACUUGUAUUAGUUAAUCUGUCUUUUAUCGGUCACUCCCUAAUCAGUAAACGUAAUAACUUUUUAUUUUUGAUAAAAUAUAGAUCAGAUAUAAAAAUCUGAGAAAAUAUCGAAUAAGAAUAAGGAUACGUCGCGAUACCUUCGUUACAUUAUGUGUGACGUUACAGAGACGAUUUUUACUCGCGCGUUUGUGUAAGAUAUGUAAAUAUAAACAAUUAUAAUCGCGCGAGUCGACGUGAGUAAUAAAAUUUGUUUCUCUCAUGUUAAUGUUGACGAGUGAUCGAUUGAUUAUUAAUCAACAGCACGUAUUUGAAUGCGAAGUCCUUCCGUUUAAUGUACGCGCGUUCGAUACUCAUAACUCGCAUUUUUAUUAUAUUGUAGUAUAUCAAUAAUCUCAACUGAUUAUUUGACGGACAAUAUUGAAUAUUCAAUAUAAAACAAGCAUUAAAUGCGGGCUACAAUCAUGAAUCUCAUGAUCUCUACGGUGAAUUAUACAAAAUACAGUAAAACGUAUUAGAACACGAA